GAAAUGCGAUAACUAGUGUGAAUUGCAGAAUUCCGUGAAUCAUCGAGUCUUUGAACGCACAUUGCGCCCCCUGGUAUUCCGGGGGGCAUGCCUGUCCGAGCGUCAUUGCUGCCCAUCAAGCACGGCUUGUGUGUUGGGUCGUCGUCCCCUCUCCGGGGGGGACGGGCCCAAAGGCAGCGGCGGCACCGCGUCCGAUCCUCGAGCGUAUGGGGCUUUGUCACCCGCUCUGUAGGCCCGGCCGGCGCUUGCCGAACGCAAAUCAAUCUUUUUCCAGGUUGACCUCGGAUCAGGUAGGGAUACCCGCUGAACUUAAGC
rnacentral:misc_RNA from 1 species